GAUGAAGAACGCAGCGAAAUGCGAUACUUGGUGUGAAUUGCAGAAUCCCGUGAACCAUCGAGUCUUUGAACGCAAGUUGCGCCCGAAGCCACUAGGCCGAGGGCACGCCUGCCUGGGCGUCACACGUCGUUGCCCCCCACCAUCUACUCCUUCGGGAUUGCGGGGGGCGGAUGAUGGCCUCCCGUGCGCCUAGCCGCGCGGUUGGCAUAAAUACCAAGUCCUCGGCGACGCACGCCACGACAAUCGGUGGUUGCGAAACCUCGGUUGCCCGUCGUGUGCGUUCGUCGCGCAUCGAGGGCUCGAAAAAAUGCUCGGCUCCGGCUCGGCUUUCAACACGACCCCAGGUCAGGCGGGGUUACCCGCUGAAUUUAAGCAUAUCAAUAAGCGGAGGA
rnacentral:misc_RNA from 1 species